rnacentral:rRNA from 1 species
UACGGAGGGAGCUAGCGUUGUUCGGAAUUACUGGGCGUAAAGCGCACGUAGGCGGCGAUUCAAGUCAGAGAUGAAAGCCCGGGGCUCAACCCCGGAACUGCCUUUGAAACUAGAUUGCUAGAAUCCUGGAGAGGUUAGUGGAAUUCCGAGUGUAGAGGUGAAAUUCGUAGAUAUCGAGAGGAACACCGGUGGCGAAGGCGGACCUUCUGGACAGUGACUGACGCUGAGACGCGAAAGCGUGGGGAGCAAACAGG